UACGUAGGGUGCAAGCGUUGUCCGGAAUUAUUGGGCGUAAAGAGCUCGUAGGCGGUCUGUCGCGUCUGCUGUGAAAACUCAGGGCUUAACCCUGAGCUUGCAGUGGGUACGGGCAGACUAGAGUGCGGUAGGGGAGACUGAAAUUCCUGGUGUAGCGGUGAAAUGCGCAGAUAUCAGGAGGAACACCGGUGGCGAAGGCGGGUCUCUGGGCAGUAAACUGACGC
rnacentral:rRNA from 1 species